ACAGGCCUGUGAUGGUUAGUUAUCGCUGUCUGAAAAUCUCCACUGAGGGGAAAAAAAGUCUGUUCUGAGGUUUAA
rnacentral:snoRNA from 1 species